rnacentral:rRNA from 1 species
UACGAAGGGAGCAAGCGUUGUUCGGAUUUACUGGGCGUAAAGGGCGUGUAGGCGGAUUGAAAAGAUAGAGGUGAAAGCCAUGGGCUCAACCUGUGAAUUGCCUUUAUAACUUUCAAUCUUGAGUUCGAGAGAGGGUAGUGGAAUUUCUAGUGUAGAGGUGAAAUUCGUAGAUAUUAGAAAGAACACCGGUGGCGAAGGCGGCUACCUGGCUCGAUACUGACGCUGAGGCGCGAAAGCGUGGGGAGCAAACAGG